GUUUGAUCUCAAGUCAGGUAGGACUACCCGCUGAACUUAA
rnacentral:rRNA from 1 species